AAAAAAAAAAAAGUAGACUUUAAUAAAUGAGCAAGUAGAAAUUUUUGACUCCUAUAGCCUAUCAAAGCAAUUUCUGCCCAUACUCUUUUGCAUUACUUAUCAGACAAAAGCCGUUCUGCUGGUUUUUAUAAAUAUAUUAGUCUAACCUAAGAUUUUUCUGCUAAGUGAGAAACUAGAGCUGGCGAUGAUCCAUAAAUAUCUCAAAAAGCAGUGAUCUCCUAGAAAGCCAAGUAUUGAUUUGGGGGGGAGAAAAAUGUAAUUAUCCAAAUGAAAACUGUAUUAUCAGGAGCUGCUCUAUGCUCAUAAUUGAGGAAGUAUAAUAUUGAGUUUUUUCAGUACUCUGUUCAGUACUCUGAACACUUGAAGCAAUUUGAGGAUACAAGUCCGCAAGGGAUUUCUCAACAAAAGGACAAUUUGCCCUCAAGUCCAGCCCUCUGGCUGAAACCUCAGAGCACUGGUGCAGUCUUCUCAGAGGUCCCUGGCACGCACAGAGCCUUUCUGGGAAGUGGAAAAGGCCGAACUCAAGGAAGAGCCCCAUGGUAACAGGGUAUGGGCCUCUGUGGGCAGAAAAGCCAGCUGGGGAUGGUGCUGCAGCCCAGUGAGCAGAGCUCAGGCUGCGUCUCAGCCCCACUUGCCCCUCAACCUGCCAUGUUUUGUGCAGUGUACAUCCUGCACACCCUUCCAUAGAGACCCUGUUCAUCAUGCUGCCUGCGUGUCUGCAGAUACUGUUCACUCUUGGCGGAAAAAAAGACUCGAUUGCACGGAAUCAAAGAAUAAACUAGAAGAAGGGAGAAGUAAGCACUCUAUGCAAAAUGCCUUGUCCUCCCACACACAAAAAGGGGAGUUUGGUGGCUAGCAGGCUAUAGGCUUAUCAAGGUUAAAAGGCAUUUUGGAAUAUGAAGAGACCUUAAAACUGGUUUGCAGAGGUUUCAUGAAGGGCAUGGCUACCUACAGAUUGAGCACUCGUUUUGACUUGCCUUCUAAUACCUAAGCCUACCUUUCAUUUUCAUGACUCAACAGGGUGUAUCUUCUUCACCACAAAAUUAUGUAGUAAGCAAAACAAAAAAGACCCCAAGGCCAUUACUUCUGCUACUUGGUGGAGCAAUGACUCCCUGAUUUGUCUAUUCAAGGAACAGUAUUUAAUAAAAAGUUAUAGGCAAAAUUAUAACCCUUGCUCCCUGCCUUCAGCAUCCCCCACUUACACACUGCAUAUUCUAAUUCUAACUAGAUUGCCCUAGUUAGAGUCUUUCAUAGUUUGGUUUGAAACAAUAUUUACAAAACUACCUUUGGAAACUCUCAGUAAAGAAUAACACCAUCUUCAUCUUGGAUCUGGAAAAGAACUAGGUCCUCUUAGGAAACAAAUAGGAAAAAAGUGAAAUCCAUCAUGAGACUGGAAGUGCAGGCAAAACCAGAAAGAUUCUUUUUUUUUUACCAAACUCAGGAAGUUUACAGGGGGCAGAUUUGUGGAAUGAGUACAGGGGACAUCAUGCAUACUAAUAAUAUUUUUCCUCCUGGAUCAGACAAGCAGAUCAGAUUGCUUUUGUACCGAUUUUGAGCAGUUCAGUAUCUUGUACAAAAGGAACACCUAUUUCCAACUCUUUAUAUGUUACCCCUCUGAAACAGAAGAAUAGCAAUUUAUCUGCUCAACCAAAUUACUUAACAUCACUAUAUGCAAGGCACAGAGGCAGGGCCCAUGGAGAAUACAGGGCUAUAUGAGAUUGCUGCUCUCAAAAAGCAUUCAUUUCAGUAUAAAGCUGAUGCAGACUUAUUAAGAACCUGUUGCUUUAAGUGAAGGUCAUGGAGGAAAUCUGUACAUGGCCAUCAUUUCCCCACCCACUCAUGCUUUCUUGGAUAGUAUGCGUGAAGAAUUAAAUAUCUUUGGGAAACCUGCCCCGCAAGAAUCAAUAACUCUGAAAGUACUAAAAUUUAUAGUUCAAAAUAACUUAUCAGAAAUGUAUCCCAGUGUCAUUAUAGUCUAUGAAAUACUCUUAACAGGUUGCAUCAGCAAAAGAUGCUAUCCAAAAUGAAAAAUUUUCAACAUUUCUUUGUGAUCUUACGUUUGCCAAGAGUGACUGGUAUUGCUUUCUGUUAUAUCUAUUGACAAAGAAGUUGCAUGGCAUGAAUUUGGUAUCUGUUGAAAAUGAAAAUUAUACAUUGUGAUGAAUUUAUAGAAAAGUGAGGCAGAACAAUAUUUAAUAAUCAAUCGUGAUAUCAUUACUUAAACUAUUGUCACAGUUCAGUCCAUGGCUGGGCUUUGAAGUGUUUCCCCAGUUCUUGGGCUCUGGGCUUAAAAGUAUCACAAGUCUUGGCCCACAGGGCAGAGAAAGAUGGCAGACACUCAGCAAGUAUGCAUGAAGAAUUUAUUGUAAGGAGAGUUUGAGGGUGCAAAGCGAAAGUAUAUUUCCUAAGGGGAAAUACACUGGAUCCUUCUAUGUUUCUCUUUUUAUAUGCUAGUAGUUUAAAGGUUAGUUAUAAUUAUUCAUAACUAUACAUUUUGGGGACUGAAUUCCUUUCUAUGUUUGAACAUGACUUAAAGGUUAUGUUUCAGUCAUUUCUUUCUUUCU